GGGGGUGUAGUUCAACAGUAGAACGACGGUCUCCAAAACCGUAAACGAGGGGGCAGCACCUUCCACCCCUG
rnacentral:tRNA from 1 species